AAAAAUCCCUAGCGCAGCCGAUCCCCAUCGGGCCUGGCUCAUCUCUCUCUCUCCCUCACCCAUCCUUCUCCACCUCCGGCCGCCGCCACGGCCAGGCCGGCAUGGUGGUGCGCCUCCCACCUCAUCACCCAUCUCCAUCCACCACUCCACCAUCACCUCCAUCCAUCAGCGCUGUGCCACCCAGCACCUCCACCACGCACCACCAGCACCACUCCACAUCCACCUCACGCAACUCACCAGACAGAGGGCCGGCGGUGUCUGAUCCAUCGCGCGCCGAUGCUGGUGCCUCCUUCUUCAACCUGCUGCUUCUUCUUCCUCACCUCCGCUGCUGCUGUCCCUGCUCUUCUUGCGCUCAUGUUGCUGCUCCUCUGAACCCCUCGUACUUCUGCUCCUAAUCUUCUCCAACUUGCUGCUGCUCUGCUUACUCUAUCUCCUUGCACCGCUGCUGCUGCUUCUCCCGCGCGCCCCAACCUGCUGCUGCUCUUCCCCCACGAAUCUGCUACAACUCCACUCUCCAGCGCCUCCUUUGCUGAUUCUUUGCUCUGAACCUCAAGUUGCUACUGCUUCUUCUUCUCACGUCACGGCUGCUGCUCUUCUUUUCUUUCCCCUACUGUUGCUCCUUCUCUGAACCUCACGCGCUGCUCCAUCUCCUAAACGCUGCUGCUUCUUCCUUGGCCUCCUGCUCUGCUCCUAAUCUGAACCAUAAAUUGCUGCUACUCCCCUUCAUUCUCUAAAUUUCUGUAGACUUGAGAUCAUAUGUAAUAUUCAUAUUUGGCUAGUGCUUGAAACUUGCUAUUGGUUCAGAUUUGUAACUGUAUAAUAAUGCUAUGACAUGUUCAGUUUCAGACUGGUGAUUGUUUAGUACUGUAGUACUGUUUUUGUUCAUCGGAGAGUAUUAGAACAGUGCCCUAUAAUACCAUAUUCAUAUUUGUGUGUGUGUGUGUGUGUGUGUGAAAUAUAUUAAUUAUGUACUGCACUUGCUACUGAUUAGUGUCCACUUUACUGUAGACUGUUGCUCAAGUUCCUAUGAUAUAUAUCAUGUUUGACAGUUUAGUCCUCUAGUUAUUGUUGCACUGAUUUAUGUCAAGAAGAUUUGGCUAGUGUGAUGUGAGUCCAGUACAUGUGCUUUAUAAUCCUGUUUGUAACCGGUGUUCAUUUUGUAGUCCCAGUGAUAUAUCUUGUACCUUGUGCUAGCUAUGAACCUGUGAUAUAUAUAUGUGUGUGUUAUGUUCAUGUCCUUUUACUUCUCUUGUCAUUGAUGAUAGCUUUUGUUAGUAUCUUAAUUUCUCAAGCAUUACGAAAAUACCAAAAAGAUUGUUGAAGAUAAUUUGAACCUUCCUUGCUACUGUGUUAUUUUCUUUAUUGUCAACUUUGGUUAGUUUAGGUCUAUAUUUCCUUGCAAUCAUCAUCUAAAUUCUAUUACCUAGCUUUAGCCGAGUAUAGUUGACGUCGCCUAGUCCCUGAGGAGAACACAACACUCACAGUUUGGGCGUAAAAACCCCACUGCACCUACUAUGAUCAUUUUGGCGCCGUUGCCGGGGAGUAGCGUCGAGAGAUUUUGUUAGGCCAUAGACUAGGUUUUUCUUGUUUUUCCCUUUGUGCUAUAUAUUUGUGAUAUAUCUCUAGCCACUAACACCUGUUUUAGUUAGUAUCUUUUUGUCUUCUUUUCCUUUUUGCAGUUGGAUUAUCCUCUCGGUUAUGGCUUACUAUUCAGAUCAUCAGGCUUACGCGAGCAACACUACAAACAGCACGGAAAGUGUUCAAGAACUGAUAGGUAAGAUUUCCCAUCGAUUAGAUGAUUUAGCUCGGCAGCGAGAAGGAGUUUUUGAGGAUAGGCCUAGUUCGUACGAUCCUUAUUCCAGAGGCCAUCCUUAUGUUGCUCCUACUUGCCAUAUUUGUGGAUUUCAGGGCCAUUCGCCCGCUGAAUGUCAGCGUGGCUACUCUCACACUCCGGAUUGUUUUGGCAUGAGCUUCACUCAAGAGCAUAGCUCAUACCAAAACAAUUACUCACAUGGGUGGCCUGAAAUCCCGAAUAUGUCAUAUAGGAGCAACAACACUGAGAUCUCACAGUUUGGUUCUAGUAAUCAUAUGCAGGGAUUCAAGUACAAUGAGGAGAACCACAACUAUGCUCCACAACAGAUUUAUUCACCUCCUACUCAUAUACCUCAAUACCAGGAGAUGUGUCCAAUGGAGUUAAAUGGUCCUCCAUUUCGUCAACCAACAACUCCAGCACCUUUCGAGCAAAGAUGAGUUUGAUGACAUAGACAAGCUCACACUUUUGAGUCUCGAGUUCACUUGGAGUGCCGAGGAUGAUCCUAUUAGGAAGGUUAUACUAGAGGAAAUGAAGAAGAUUAAGAGUGGAAAGGAGCUAGUGGAAGAAGUAAGGAAGAUUGAGAAGAACAUCAAUGCUGGCAGCACUAUUUCUUCACAACUUGAGUUGAGUGUGGCUGAGAUAUCCAUGGAUACAUGUGAGGUUCCAACACCUUCACAUUUCGUUGAGCAAGUUAGCAAGUGCCUUGAGCAAGAGAUACCUCAGAUUGAAGAAGAUGAACUAGAAGACAAGGAACAAGAUGGUCAAGAGCUGCAAUUCCCAAGUGAUCAAGUUGAAGACUCAUCAUCUAUUACUCCUGAAGAAGUACAAGAAGCUGCUGUAGAUGAAGAUGAAGAACAUGAGAUUCAUUUGCCUAUUGUCAUACCAGAGUGUGAUGUGUCAGGUUUACUCAAUCCUCUUGAUGACAUGAUGCCUUGUGAUUUCUUUGCUACCACCUUGCAUUACAUGAUACCAUCACUUAAGAUUGAUUUGAAAACUCAUUUGCUUGGAUAUGAUGAUAUAUACCGUGUUAGUGGAAUUGCUCUCAUUUGUGAUGAUCACAAUUACUUUCCUCAUGCUAGUCUUGAGCUUAAUGAUAAAUGUCAUCCUCGUGUGAGUAUUGACCAUGCUGAUUUCUGCCAUCCUAAACAUGUGCUUUAUAGUUAUGCUUAUAUAAUUGGAUAUUCCAUUGAUGACUUGGAGGGCAUCGACCGUAUCACUUGUAGUUGUUUGUGUGAGUCCUAUUUCAGGCUUUUGCUACUACACUGUUUACUACAUGCUGACCAGGUUCGAGGUGACAUUCCUUGGGAUCCUGGUGGAGUCAGAGCAUGGCGAUGAGGGGAGCACAAACAGGGAACACAAACAGAGAAGAGUGGAGAGAAGAAAGUAGGAGAGAAGAGUAUACAAAUACCAGGUGAUUCUGUUCCACUUGAAGCAACCUUUAGAAAAUUUAGUACGAGAACUGGCAUUUUAUUGCAUUGAAACACUUUUUGCAUUGUGACACCUUACUCUUCACUGCAAAGUAGGAUUCACUCCAAGAAGAUUGUUGAUUCUCUUAAUACUAAAACUAUGCAGCUGUAUUCUUCUUAUGGUAAUUUGUGAUAAUGAAUACUUUAUACCUCCAUGUAAAUGUUCAAUGGGAAUGCGUUGAGUCUAAGUGAAACCUACUAAUGAAUUGAUGUGCUGUGUCUGACUGUCCGAAGUUAAGCUAAGUAACUGGUGGCACUUAAGUAGUAGCUAUGAUCUCUGGAUCUGUAGUAUGUGAAAAACAGUGCCAUUAGCUAUGGAUUCCUCUUUCAAUUAUUCCUAUUUUACUUAAGCUAAGUAAUUUUCAAAUAACUAUAUAAAAUAAUUAUAAUAAUUUAAGUCCGAUCGACCUAUAGUAGCAUGUCAUGUUCCCUGGAUCGGUGGCUUGUGAAAUCUGGUAGAUUGGACUGUAAAAAAAUUUAUAUAAAAAAUGCUAUAAUUUGUCGAACCAGGUGUAUACCAUGUUCUCGGGAUCGGUGGUAUGUUCCUUAGGGGAGAUAAUAACAAAAAAAUAUGCUAAUAAUUUGUCGAACCAGGUGUAUACCAUGUUCUCGGGAUCAGUCGUAUGUUCCUUUGGGGAGAUAACAAAAAAAAUAUACUAAUAAUUUGGUCGAGCCAGGUGUAUACCAUGUUCUCGGGAUCGGUGGUAUGUUCCUUUGGUGAGACUGAUAUAAUAUCAUCACUUGUGCUUUAAAUUCAAUAAGUAACUUGUUUUUCUAAUUGAUUUUGGGGUCCCAGCUUAUCUCAGGGCUGAAGACAGAGCCAGCUCUUGAUUAUUAGUAUUCACUUUGACUCAAGGCCAUUGACUUGGAACAUUUACAGUGUGUUAUAAAAUAUUUCUUAUCACAAUUUAGCUUUAGUAGAGUACAUUUGCUUAGUUCCAGUAUUGUCGGAAUUACUAUCUAUCGGAAAGUGCAUCUUUACUAGGCAGUGUGAGUUGUGUCACCAUCAAUUUUUUUUCCUUUGCUUGAGGACAAGCAAAGAUUUAAGUGUGGGGGAACUUGAUAAGCACAUUUCUUAUAUACUAUUUGGGCACACAAAUUCACCUUUUAUUGAGAUAUAUCCAUCCAUUCUUGCUAUGACUUGUUGAAUAUUCGAAUGAUAAUCAUAAAAGAGAAUGUUGACUAGUGAAUUGUUUAUUUUGCAGAAGAGUGCGCAAAGGCACUAUAAUCGUCAAGACUUCUACUAUGUGGCUAACGAGAAGAGAGAAGGGCAUGAAAGAAAUACGUCAAGGCUUGAGCGUGAAGGAAAGAAGUAAUGUAGGGGAGCAAACUAAAAGAAGAGGAGGAUCUUCUUGGGAAGAGAGAAGAAAGGAGGAGGGCCAAAGUAAAAAAAAGACACAACAGAGGAGGGGAUCAAAAAUCCCUAGCGCAGCCGAUCCCCAUCGGGCCUGGCUCAUCUCUCUCUCUCCCUCACCCCUCCUUCUCCACCUCCGGCCGCCACCACGGCCAGGCCGGCGUGUUGGUGCGCCUCCCACCUCAUCACCCAUCUCCAUCCACCACUCCACCAUCACCUCCAUCCAUCAGCGCCGUGCCACCCAGCACCUCCACCAUGCACCACCAGCACCACUCCAGAUCCACCUCACGCAACUCACCAGACAGAGGGUCGGCGGUGUCUGAUCCAUCGCGCGCCCGAUGCUGGUGCCUCCUUCUUCAACCUGCUGCUUCUUCUUCCUCACCUCCGCUGCUGUUGCUCCUGCUCUUCUUGCGCUCAUGUUGCUGCUCCUCUGAACCCCUCGUACUGCUGCUCCUAAUCUUCUCCAACUUGCUGCUGCUCUGCUUACUCUAUCUCCUUGCACCGCUGCUGCUGCUUCUCCCGCGCGCCCCAACCUGCUGCUGCUCUUCCCCCACGAAUCUGCUACAGCUCCACUCUCUAGGGCCUCCUUUGCUGAUUCUUUGCUCUGAACCUCAAGUUGCUACUGCUUCUUCUUCUCACGUCACUGCUACUGCUCUUCUUUUCUUUCCCCUACUGUUGCUCCUUCUCUGAACCUCACGAUGCUGCUCCAUCUCCUAAACGCUGCUGCUUCUUCCUUGGCCUCCUGCUCUGCUCCUAAUCUGAACCAUAAAUUGCUGCUACUCCCCUUCAUUCUCUAAAUUUCUGUAGACUUGAGAUCAUAUGUAAUAUUCAUAUUUGGCUAGUGCUUGAAACUUGCUAUUGGUUCAGAUUUGUAACUGUAUAAUAAUGCUAUGACAUGUUCAGUUUUAGACUGGUGAUUGUUUAGUACUGUAGUACUGUUUUUGUUCAUCGGAGAGUAUUAGAACAGUGCCCUGUAAUACCAUGUUCUUAUUUGUGUGUGUGUGUGUGUGUGAAAUAUAUUAAUUAUGUACUGCACUUGCUACUGAUUAGUGUCCAGUUUACUGUAGACUGUUGCUCAAGUUCCUGUGAUAUAUAUCAUGUUUGACAGUUUAGUCUUCUAGUUAUUGUUGCACUGAUUUAUGUCAAGAAGAUUUGGCUAGUGUGAUGUGAGUCCAGUACAUGUGCUUUAUAAUCCUGUUUGUAACCGGUGUUCAUUUUGUAGUCCCAGUGAUAUAUCUUGUACCUUGUGCUAGCUAUGAACCUGUGAUAUAUAUGUGUGUGUUAUGUUCAUGUCCUUUUACUUCUCUUGUCAUUGAUGAUAGCUUUUGUUAGUAUCUUAAUUUCUCAAGCAUUACGAAAAUACCAAAAAG
rnacentral:rRNA from 1 species